ensembl:lncRNA
GACGGCCCUUUGGUGGCCCAGAUCAGGUUUGCCAGAGGUAAUCCACACAUGGGCCAGCACAGGACCACCAGUGUGUCUGAAACUGGCCUUGUGCUGGCCCAUGUGUAGGCCACCUCUGGCAAACUAGGUCUGGGCCACCAAAGGGCCGUCAUUCUUUGCGUGCACAAUGUGUGUGUGUGUGUGUGUGUGUGUGUGUGUGUGUGUGUGUGUGUGUGUGUGUGUGCAUGCGCGUGCAUGGGGUUAGGGUCAAAUGUUGGAUGUAUUUUGGUGUUUUAUUGUUCUUUUUUUUUUUUGGUGUUUUAUUGUUCUGUGAAAUGUUUGCAUUGUUUAUUUGUUGUUUAUUUAUUUGUUCAUCCUUGUUGUACUAAUACAACUUAUUAUAGCAUAACUUGGCAUUUUACUACCCUUGUCGCACAGUGUUGCCUUGAAGCAACAAACCAAUAUCUGUUUGGGGGGGGCAGGGUGUCAAAUUUUAUGAUUGAUAUAUUAUUAGGGACCCUAAAGCUCCCCCAAAAUAGGGAGAAAUAUUUUUUUCCCAAAAAAUUAACAACAUUAGUUCAGUUAUAGUACACCAACAUCUCUAACAUAUUAGCACUAAGGGAACACUGAAUUACCUGGUGGUUUUUGUCCAUAAAACUACUCAUCUAAGAUUACCACAAAAUAUCUCUCAGCAAAAUUAUGCAACAUUUUAGUCACUAUUGCCCCGAUCAAAUCAGUGAGCUGGGAUUUUUAAUUCUAAACAUGAACUACUGUUACAGCAACAGACAUGGACUACAUGUCCAUGGGGCGAUCAUGGCUCAAGAGUUGGGAGUUUGCUUUGUAAUCGGAAGGUUGCCGGUUCGAACCCCGGCUUGGACAGUCUCGGUCGUGUGUCCUUGGGCAAGACACUUCACCCGUUGCCUACUGGUGGUGGUCAGAGGGCCCGGUGGCGCCAGUGUCCGGCAGCCUCGCCUCUGUCAGUGCGCCCCAGGGUGGCUGUGGCUACAACCCAGUGUGUGAAUGUGUGUGUGAAUGGGUGGAUGACUGGAUAUGUCAAGCGCUU